GCAGGUUGAAGCGCGGGUAAGACCGCGUGGAGGACCGAACCCACCUGGGUUGAAAACCGGGGGGAUGACUUGGGGCUAGGGGUGAAAGGCCAAUCAAAUUCCGUGAUAGCUGGUUCUCUCCGAAAUGCAUUUGGGUGCAGCGUCGGGUCAUUACGUCCCGGGGGUAGAGCUACUGGAUGCUUGCGGGCCCGUAUCGGGUACCAACAGCAACCAAACUCCGAAUACCGGUGACGCGUAUCCCGGCAGUGAGUCGGCGGGGGAUAAGCUUCGUCGUCGAAAGGGAAACAGCCCAGACCGUCGUCUAAGGUCCCGAAGCGUGUGCUAAGUGGGAAAGGAUGUGGAGUCGCAUAGACAGCCAGGAGGUUGGCUCAGAAGCAGCCACCCUUGAAAGAGUGCGUAACAGCUCACUGGUCUAGUGGUUCCGCGCCGACAAUGUAGCGGGGCUCAAGCACACCACCGAAGACGCGGCAGUAUUUUGUACUGGGUAGGAGAGCGUCCCAUGAGGGGCGAAGCGGCCGUGUGAACGCGCCGUGGACUUCAUGGGAGUGAGAAUGCAGACAUGAGUAGCGAGAGACGGGUGAAGAUCCCGUCCGCUGGAUGACCAAGGGUUCCAGGGCCACGUUCAUCGUCCCUGGGUGAGUCGGGUCCUAAGGCGAGGCCGACAGGCGUAGUCGAAUGGAUGAACGGGUCGAUAUUCCCGUACCGGCUUUCAGCCGCCAAAACCGAGGCUUGGAGUACUAACCUCCGGGUCCGGGCUUACUGCUCCUUCGGGGGCGGGAUGCCCUGGCCUGUUGGGACCGAUCCUUGUAGUAGGUCAGCGCAGGAGUGACGCAGAAGGGUAGCCGGCCGCGGAGGUGGUCUUCCGUGGUCAAGCACGCAGGGCGUGGGACAGGCAAAUCCGUCCCGCAUGGGUCCGAGGUGCGAUGAUGGGGGCCUUAUGGCCCGAUAUCCGGUGAUCCCGGCUGCCGAGAAAAGCUUCGGCGUCAGGCUCAAAGCCGCCCGUACCCCAAACCGACACUGGUGGUCAGGUAGAGAAUACCAAAGCGAUCGAGCGAAUCCUGGUCAAGGAACUCGGCAAAUCACUCCCGUUCCUUCGGUUUAAGGGAGACCCCCGAUGGUGAACACACUUGCUGUGGGAGCUUUUGGGGGUGGCACAGACCAGGGGGUAGCGACUGUUUACCAAAAACACAGGUGCAUGCGAAGGCGCAAGCCGCUGUAUAUGCACUGACGCCUGCCCGGUGCCGGAAGGUUAAGAGGAUCCGUCAGCCUUCGGGUGAAGCGGUGAAUUCAAGCCCCGGUAAACGGCGGUGGUAACUAUAACCAUCCUAAGGUAGCGAAAUUCCUUGUCGGGUAAGUUCCGACCUGCACGAAUGGCGUAACGACUUCCCCACUGUCUCGACCAGGAGCUCGGCGAAAUUGCAGUACGAGUAAAGAUGCUCGUUAAGCGCAGAAGGACGAAAAGACCCCGGGACCUUUACUAUACCUUGGUAUUGGCAUUCGGUGUGGAUUGUGUAGCAUAGGCGGGAGGCCGAGAGGCGCGGUCGCCAGAUCGCGCGGAGCCGUAAGGUGAAAUACCGCUCUGUUCGCAUUGGAUGUCUAACCUCGAACAGUCAUCCUGUUCAGGGACAGUGCCUGGCGGGUAGUUUAACUGGGGCGGUUGCCUCCCAAAGAGUAACGGAGGCGCCCAAAGGUCCGCUCAGCCCGGUUGGCAAUCGGGUGGCGAGUGCAAGUGCACAAGCGGGCUUGACUGCGAGGACGACGGUCCGAGCAGGGACGAAAGUCGGGACUAGUGAUCCGGUGCCGGUGUACGGACGCGGCAUCGCUCAACGGAUAAAAGGUACCCCGGGGAUAACAGGCUGAUCAUUCCCAAGAGUCCAUAUCGACGGGAUGGUUUGGCACCUCGAUGUCGGCUCGUCGCAUCCUGGGGCUGGAGCAGGUCCCAAGGGUUCGGCUGUUCGCCGAUUAAAGCGGCACGCGAGCUGGGUUCAGAACGUCGUGAGACAGUUUGGUCUCUAUCCUCUGCGCUCGUUGGAAUGCUGAGGAGGCCUGCCCAUAGUACGAGAGGACCUGGGUGGACGAACCUCUGGUAUGCCGGUUGUCACGCCAGUGGCACGGCCGGUUGGCUACGUUCGG
rnacentral:rRNA from 1 species